AUUGAACGCUGGCGGCAUGCCUUACACAUGCAAGUCGAACGGCAGCACGGGAGCAAUCCUGGUGGCGAGUGGCGAACGGGUGAGUAAUAUAUCGGAACGUGCCCAGUCGUGGGGGCUAACGUAGCGAAAUCUACGCUAAUACCGCAUACGAUCUAUGGAUGAAAGCGGGGGAUCGCAAGACCUCGCGCGAUUGGAGCGGCCGAUAUAAGACUAGGUAGCUGGUAAGGUAAAGGCUCACCAAGCCGACGAGCUGUAGCGGGUCUGAGAGGACGACCAGCCACACUGGGACUGAGACACGGCCCAGACUCCUACGGGAGGCAGCAGUGGGGAAUUUUGGACAAUGGGCGCAAGCCUGAUCCAGCAAUGCCGCGUGCAGGAUGAAGGCCUUCGGGUUGUAAACUGCUUUUGUACGGAACGAAACGGUGAGCUCUAAUACAGUUUGCUAAUGACGGUACCGUAAGAAUAAGCACCGGCUAACUACGUGCCAGCCGCCGCGGUAA
rnacentral:rRNA from 1 species